UCAUUUAUGUUUUAAUCUUGGUUUGUGCUCUCAGCUCAACAGACAAAGUUUGAGAGGAUUUAAAAGCUCGGCUUUCUGGGAAAGAUGUGUCUUUACACAAACAAAAUAUUAAUAUUGCUUCUUCUCUGCCAGGCUUCAUCAUCAGCUUCAAAAUUUCCUGACCCAAGUUCAUAUCCCACCUAUCCAGGAACCAUUCAAAAUUGUCAGCAUAAUUUUGAAAUACAAUAAGUUCAUGAUUGAAAUCUGCUUUGUGAGUGGGAUCAAAAGGAUAGACACAACAAAAACUAUUAUAAAACCAACAUUACUUGUGACUGAUUUUCUAUCACAAGUAUGUGAGCAAUUAAAUUGACAGGUAGGAUAAUUGGACGUGGCAAGAGUUAGAUUAAUAUAUUGUCUUAACUUUUGUAUAAACUGAAAUAAAAGCAAUAUUUUAAUGAGGAAAACACGCCGUUUUUAUCUAUCUUGCCUGGCAGUUCCAAACUAAGUUCUGUUUAUUCCUUUACUGUAUAUUUUGCAUGAUAUGAUUUCCUUGAAAUAAGUUGUUUUGCAUGACAAUUUGUCAGAUCAUUGUAUAACUUGAAUGAUGAACAAUGUCCUAAUCAAUUAACUUCUUCCUGCUUUCUAUUUUGUUGUGCC